rnacentral:rRNA from 1 species
CUACGUGCCAGCAGCCGCGGUAAUACGGAAGGUCCGGGCGUUAUCCGGAUUUAUUGGGUUUAAAGGGAGCGUAGGCUGGAGAUUAAGUGUGUUGUGAAAUGUAGACGCUCAACGUCUGACUUGCAGCGCAUACUGGUUUCCUUGAGUACGCACAACGUUGGCGGAAUUCGUCGUGUAGCGGUGAAAUGCUUAGAUAUGACGAAGAACUCCGAUUGCGAAGGCAGCUGACGGGAGCGCAACUGACGCUGAAGCUCGAAGGUGCGGGUAUCGAACAGGAUUAGAUACCCUGGUAGUCCGCACAGUAAACGAUGGAUGCCCGCUGUUGGUACCUAGUAUCAGCGGCUAAGCGAAAGCAUUAAGCAUCCCMCCUGGGGAGUACGCCGGCAACGGUGAAACUCAAAGGAAUUGACGGGGGCCCGCACAAGCGGAGGAACAUGUGGUUUAAUUCGAUGAUACGCGAGGAACCUUACCCGGGCUUGAAUUGCAGAGGAAGGAUUUAGAGAUAA